GCGGGGCGGCCGAGCGGCGGGGCCGGCGGAGGGGACGGCGUGGGGACAGCGAUCCCUGCCGUGCUUUUCCAGCUCAUUCCCAUUUUUCCCUCACCUUCCUGCUGCCCCAAUCAAAAAAAGAAAUCCCUAAAAGUCUCAAAUUCCCAGAAUUUGGAAGGAUUUGGGAAGAUGGAAUCCAGGAUUGGGAAUCCCAAAUAUUCCUGUAGGGGGGAACACAGGGAUGAUCCCAGAGAAAAUCACCCCAAAAGCUGGAAAAUCCUAUGGAUGCCACCCUAAAAGUGGGAAAAUUCCAUGGAUAUCAUCCCAAGGCUGGAAAAAUUCCAUGGAUGCCAUCCCAAAGCUGGAAAAUCCAAUGGAUGUCACCGAAAACUUGGACAAACCCAACGGACAACGUCCCAAACACAGAACAUUCCAGGGAUAUCACCCAAAUUUUGGGAAAACUCCAUGGAUGCCAUCCCAAAACUGGAAAAAUUUCAGGGAUUCCAUCCCAAAACUUGGAAAAAUCCAAUGGAUGUCAACCAAAACUUGGAGAAUUCCAUGGAUUCCAUCUCAAAAGUGGGAAAAUUCUAUGGAUAACUCCCCAAAGAAGGAAAAGCCAGUGGAUAUCAAUGAAAACUUGGAAAAUCCCAUGGAUGCCAUCCCAAACUCGGAAAAUCCAAUGGACAUCACCCCAAAAUGGGAAAAAAAUUCCAGGGAUUCCAUCCCAAAGCUGGAAGAAUCCUGUGGAUGUCACCCCAAAGUGCUUCCCUGGAUAAAAUCCCAUCCCAGUGGAAGCGGGAAUGUCCCAGGAUGGGAGAGAUCCCAAAGUUUUUCAGGUUCUUUUGGGAUUCCUGCUCCAGUUUUCUGCCGUUCCAGAGGCUCCCACCUCUCCCAGGGAAGGUUUUGGGAUUUCCCAGCUCUUCCCGCAGGGAGGGAUGGGAUUGGGGAGGGAAUUCCUGGCUGGGGUGGGAUGGGAUGGGAUGGGAUGGGAUCCAUGGGAUGGGAUGGGAUGGGAUGGGAUGGGAUGGGAUGGGAUGGGAUGGGAUGGGAUGGGAUGGGAUGGGAUGGGAUGGGAUGGGAUGGGAUGGGGUGGGAUCCAUGGGAUGGGAUCCAUGGGGUGGGAUGGGAUUCCCAGGGAAGCUGUGGCUGCCCCUGGGCCCCUGGGAUGUCCAAGCAGGGAAGGAUCCAAGGAAAACUCGGAGCUGCUUCCAGAGGUGCGGGGAGUUCCAAAGGAGCUGGAGAGGAUUUGGGGUUUGGGAUUUUGGGAAUUCCAGGGCACAGGGGAUGGAUUUGGGAAUUCCAGGACCCAAUGAAAUGGGAAUUUUCCAUUGGGAUUUUUCGGAGCAUAAAGUAGAAAUUUCAGCUCCAUAUUAUUCCCUGGAAAAUGCAGCUCCAACAGGGCUGGUCUGCAGUUGGGAUUUGUCCUUAAACUCCUAAAAAAGUUCUUUUUCCAGCUUUUUUUGGGA